UACAGAGGUCUCGAGCGUUAGGCGGAAUCACUGGGCUUAAAGCGUGUGUAGGCGGAUCGUUAAGUGCCUUGUGAAAUCCCACGGCUCAACCGUGGAACUGCUUGGCAUACUGGCGGUCUUGAGCAACCUAGGGGCGAGCGGAACAAAUGGUGGAGCGGUGAAAUGCGUAGAUAUCAUUUGGAACGCCAAUGGUGAAAACAGGUCGCUGGGGAUGAGCUGACGCUGAGACACGAAAGCCAGGGGAGCAAACGGG
rnacentral:rRNA from 1 species